rnacentral:rRNA from 1 species
CCUAACACAUGCAAGUGGAACGAUCCCGAUUUAUCGGGAAAGUCGCGAACGGCUGAGUAACACGUAGGAAUCUACCCUUUGGUGUGGAAUACCCUGUCGAAAGGCAGGCUAAUACCGCAUAAGAUCGUAAGAUGAAAGGAUGUAACUAUCCACCGAAGGAGGAGCCUGCGGCCUAUCAGCUUGUUGGUAGGGUAAUGGCCUACCAAGGCUAUGACGGGUAGGGGGCGUGAGAGCGUGUUCCCCCAGAAUGGUACUGAGACACGGACCAUACACCUACGGGUGGCAGCAACCGGGAAUAGUGCGCAAUGGACGAAAGUCUGACGCCGCGACGCCGCGUGUGGGAUGAAUGCCUUCGGGUUGUAACCACUUUUGCAGUGAGGGAGACCGAACUGAGAAUAAGCACCGGCUAACUCCGUGCCAGCAGCAGCGGUAAUACGGAGGGUGCAAGCAUUGUCCGGAUUUAUUGGGCGUAAAGAGUCUGUAGGCGAUUUUCUAAGUUAUCUUUCAAAGCUCGGGGCUCAACCUCGAAAAGGGGGGUAAUACUGGAAAAAUUGAAAUGUUUUGGGGCUACUGGAACUUGCGGUGUAGGAGUGAAAUCCGUUGAUAUCGCAAGGAACACCAAGGGCGAAGGCGGGUAGCUGGGAACUAUUUGACGCUGAGAGACGAAAGCCAGGGGAGCGAAAGGGAUUAGAGACCCCUGUAGUCCUGGCCGUAAACGAUGCUCGCUAGCGAUGUGACUCACAAAGGACAUGUCCUUUGUGAGAAAUCCUAAAUACGAAGCACGAAAUACUAAACAAAUUAUA